rnacentral:misc_RNA from 1 species
AAGUCGUAACAAGGUUUCCGUAGGUGAACCUGCGGAAGGAUCAUUAACACAACAAAACUGUUCUUUUUUCGACGGUGUAAAAGCCGGAGAAGAAACUACUUUUAUCAAGAAACUCGUCCAAUGGUGGCUUGCUCUUUAGCAUGACCCUAAAAUAUGAUACCUUUUUAAAUAACGUGUUACCCAUUCAACCCAAUUGUCUGAGCUCAAAAUCUUUUUUUCUUCGUAACUGAAGGAAGAAAGCAUUUCUGUUUUUACGAAAUGUAUUGUACAACUCUUAACAACGGAUAUCUUGGUUCUC